rnacentral:rRNA from 1 species
UGCGCAGGCGGCUCAUUAAGUCAGUGGUGAAAUCUCUCGGCUCAACCGAGAAACUGCCAUUGAAACUGAUAAGCUUGAGUGUAGUUGUAGUAGGCGGAAUAUAGCAUGUAGCGGUGAAAUGCUUAGAUAUGCUAUAGAACACCGAUCGCGAAGGCAGCUUACUAAACUAUUACUGACGCUCAUGCACGAAAGCGUGGGGAGCAAACAGGAUUAGAUACCCUGGUAGUCC